AGCAAUCCUUAAUUAACAUCUUCAGUUGCCUGUUUGACCUUACCAAUUUACAAGGUGAAAAUGACCAGUUUUACAUACUCAGUGAUAGCUGUUACUGUAGGCGAGCCCCUCGAAUCGUUAGGCAUGCUCAGUGCUGGGGGUUCUGGGAGGGUUGCUGCCAGCCUGACGUGGCUCAUGUCUCUCUGAGACAGGUGUAUCUGUCCCUGCUUCGGAUGUACCUGUCGCCCCCCAGCAUUCACUGCCUGGGGCCAAUCAAGCUGGAACUACUGGAGCCAAAAGCCAACCUCCAGGCCGCUCUGCAGGUCCUCGAGCUGCACCACAGCAAACUGGACACCACCAAGGCCCUCAACCUUCUGCCAGCAAACACUCAGAUCAAUGACAUACGCAUCUUCCUGGAAAAGGUCUUGGAAGAAAAUGCACAAAAGAAACGGUUCAAUCAAGUGCUCAAGAACCUUCUCCAUGCAGAAUUCCUGAGGGUCCAGGAAGAGCGGAUUUUACACCAGCAGGUGAAGUGCAUCAUCACAGA
rnacentral:sRNA from 1 species